GGAAGACCAAGGGUUCCUGUCCAACGUUAAUCGGGGCAGGGUGAGUCGACCCCUAAGGCGAGGCUGAAAAGCGUAGUCGAUGGGAAACGGGUUAAUAUUCCCGUACUGGUGGUAACUGCGAUGGGGGAACGGAGAAGGCUAGGUUGUCCGGGCGACGGUCGUCCCGGUUCAAGCAGGUAGGCAGAGUGAUUAGGCAAAUCCGGUCACUUAAUGCUGAGAUGUGAUGACGAACCACCAAGGUGGUGAAGCAAUUGAUGCCCCGCUUCCAGGAAAAGCCUCUAAGCUUCAGGUUACCAACAAUCGUACCCCAAACCGACACAGGUGGUCAGGUAGAGAAUACUCAGGCGCUUGAGAGAACUCGGGUGAAGGAACUAGGCAAAAUGGUGCCGUAACUUCGGGAGAAGGCACG
rnacentral:rRNA from 1 species